AUUGAACGGCGCGGAAUGCUUUACACAUGCAAGUCGAACGGCAGCACGGGUGCUUGCACCUGGUGGCGAGUGGCGAACGGGUGAGUAAUAUAUCGGAACGUAUCCAAUAAUGGGGGAUAACUAGCCGAAAGGUUAGCUAAUACCGCAUACGCCCUGAGGGGGAAAGCUGGGGAUCGUAAGACCUAGCGUUGAUGGAGCGGCCGAUAUCUGAUUAGCUAGUUGGUGGGGUAAGAGCCUACCAAGGCGACGAUCAGUAGCUGGUCUGAGAGGACGACCAGCCACACUGGAACUGAGACACGGUCCAGACUCCUACGGGAGGCAGCAGUGGGGAAUUUUGGACAAUGGGGGCAACCCUGAUCCAGCCAUUCCGCGUGAGUGAAGAAGGCCUUCGGGUUGUAAAGCUCUUUCGCAAGGGAAGAAAACUCGAUCUCUAAUAUAGGUUGAGGCUGACGGUACCUUGAUAAGAAGCACCGGCUAACUACGUGCCAGCAGCCGCGGUAAUACGUAGGGUGCGAGCGUUAAUCGGAAUUACUGGGCGUAAAGCGUGCGCAGGCGGUUUUGAAAGUCAGAUGUGAAAUCCCCGGGCUCAACCUGGGAACUGCGUUUGAAACUCCAAAGCUAGAGUAUGGGAGAGGGAGGUAGAAUUCCACGUGUAGCAGUGAAAUGCGUAGAGAUGUGGAGGAAUACCAAUGGCGAAGGCAGCCUCCUGGCCUAAUAC
rnacentral:rRNA from 1 species